rnacentral:rRNA from 1 species
UUGAACGCUGGCGGCAUGCUUUACACAUGCAAGUCGAACGGCAGCGCGGGCUUCGGCCUGGCGGCGAGUGGCGAACGGGUGAGUAAUGCAUCGGAACGUGCCCAGUAGUGGGGGAUAGCCCGGCGAAAGCCGGAUUAAUACCGCAUACGACCUGAGGGUGAAAGCGGGGGGCCGAAAGGCCUCGCGCUAUUGGAGCGGCCGAUGUCGGAUUAGCUAGUUGGUGGGGUAAAGGCUUACCAAGGCGACGAUCCGUAGCUGGUCUGAGAGGACGACCGGCCACACUGGGACUGAGACACGGCCCAGACUCCUACGGGAGGCAGCAGUGGGGAAUUUUGGACAAUGGGGGCAACCCUGAUCCAGCCAUGCCGCGUGCGGGAAGAAGGCCUUCGGGUUGUAAACCGCUUUUGUUCGGGAAGAAAUCCUCUGGGCUAAUACCCCGGGGGGAUGACGGUACCGGAAGAAUAAGCACCGGCUAACUACGUG